UACGGGGGGGGCAAGCGUUGUUCGGAAUUACUGGGCGUAAAGGGCUCGUAGGCGGCCAACUAAGUCAUACGUGAAAUCCCUCGGCUUAACCGGGGAACUGCGUCUGAUACUGGAUGGCUUGAGUUCGGGAGAGGGAUGCGGAAUUCCAGGUGUAGCGGUGAAAUGCGUAGAUAUCUGGAGGAACACCGGUGGCGAAGGCGGCCAACUGGCCCGAUACUGACGCUCAUGUGCGAAAGCGUGGGGAGCAAACAGG
rnacentral:rRNA from 1 species